CCUAGGGCCUUUGUAGAAACCUUAUGUGGUUCACCACUAUACGGUGGAUGCCAAACUUGCCUCCAUCUUUGCUUGGACACGAGGACUUGCUCACAGGGCUAAGUUGGACAACAACGAUAGACUCUUGGAUUUCACCGAGAAGCUUGAAGCAGCUUGCAUUGGUGCUGUGGAGUCUGGAAAGAUGACCAAGGAUCUUGCACUUAUCAUCCAUGGGUCAAAGCUUUCAAGGGACAUAUAUCUAAACACUGAAGAAUUCAUUGACGCUGUGGCAGAUGAACUGAAAGCUAAACUGUUGAAAGCCAAGGCAUAAUUGAUAAAUUGCAAGGUGUUUAUGUGAAGAAUUUCUUUCAUAUAAAGGAGUUUUGAAAUUGAUCUUGUAUAUGGACAUUAUAGUGGAUGAACUGAAGAUAUGAAUCACCAGCAGGAAGAUGAUGUGAUAUCGUCUGGCUCUUCAUCACCAGAUUCAAUAUCAUCACCCUUUGGUGGAAUGAGUUAUCCCUCAUUGUUCAGUUCCAAGCCAACUACCUAUGGCCCAAAAUUGUUAAAGAUGUCCUGAUGUUAAAGAUGAAAAUGGCCCAAAAUCAAAGCUGAUUGUGAUUUUGUAUUUUUUGAGGAUAAAUUAAAGAAGGGAACAUGUAUUCUUAAAGAUGGCCUGAGUGGUAAUUUUCAGACAAUAAUGAUCGUCACCAUAUCUCUAGCAAAUAGUUAGUAUCACCAUACGGGUAACACUUUGAAGUAUGCUCACCGAACAAAGGAAAUUAAGAUACAUUCAGGUUCAGAUCCUUCAGAAUGAAAAGGAAAAAGUUUUGGAGGAAUCGGUGAGAAGCCUUGAUGAGAAGUUAGCAUCUGCUCUCGAUGAGUGCAACGCUAAAGAUGAAUUAGUCACAAAGCUCACAAACAUGGCGGAAGAAGCCAUUGCAGCUCACAAGAAAGCGGAGGCUGAAAUUAUGUGUUUGAAGGAAGAGUUAGAAGAAUGGAAGGCUACCUUAACAGUGCAUUAAAGGAUUGUAUGCAGAAAUGAAGGAAGAGUUGGCUGUUUAUGGACCUAUAUCAAAUGAUAUCUCCUCCAUAUCAAGCCAUGAAAUGAAGAAGGAGCAUCAAAGUGUUUCUACUGAAGCUUGGGCUUGUGCUUAGAUAUCUGAACUAGAGCAUUUCAAGAAUCAUAAGGACCAGAAGAGUAACUCUGAACAGAAAACGAUUGGAGUUUCAGAGAUGAGGCUAAUGGAUGAUUUUGUCAAAAUGGAAAAACUAGCAAUAGUAGCAAAUAUCUUCAAACAGAUGAUGAAUGAAUUCUCUUCAAGCAUAUGAAAUGUGUAUUUUAUGUUUU